CGAACGGUAACAGGCCACGCUCAUCCUUCGGGGUGUUGUGGUGCUGACGAGUGGCGGACGGGUGAGUAAUGCUUAGGAAUCUACCCAGAAGUGGGGGACAACCCGAGGAAACUCGGGCUAAUACCGCGUAAUCCCUACGGGGGAAAGCGGGGGACUCUUCGGAGCCUCGCGCUUUUGGAUGAGCCUAAGUCGGAUUAGCUUGAUGGUGAGGUAAAAGCUCACCAUGGCGACGAUCCGUAGCUGGUCUGAGAGGACGAUCAGCCACACUGGGACUGAGACACGGCCCAGACUCCUACGGGAGGCAGCAGUGGGGAAUAUUGGACAAUGGGGGCAACCCUGAUCCAGCAAUGCCGCGUGUGUGAAGAAGGCCUGCGGGUUGUAAAGCACUUUCAGUAGAGAAGAAAAGCUCGAGGUUAAUACCCUCGGGUCUUGACGUAACCUAAAGAAGAAGCACCGGCUAACUCCGUGCCAGCGGCCGCGGUAAUACGGAGGGUGCGAGCGUUAAUCGGAAUUACUGGGCGUAAAGCGCGCGCAGGCGGCUGGGUCAGUCGGAUGUGAAAGCCCCGGGCUUAACCUGGGAAUUGCAUUCGAUACUGCCCGGCUAGAGUAUG
rnacentral:rRNA from 1 species